CAAAAUCCAACAAAACCACAUAUGCAUGAAACAAGCAAGUUGUCAAUUUCAUUUCCAGUUCAACAAUUUCUUAGCCAAGAACAUGAAAACACCUUUAAAUUUAAUAUAAUAGAUUAAAAAAUGGCAUCAUGACAUCAUUACAUACAAGAAUAGAAACAAAUGCAUGCACCAACAUCCACUUGCAAUAAUAUAUAAACAUAGAGCACAGUCUCAAAAGACAAAAACUAGUCCAACAAGUUGAAAAAAGAAUAUUAACUUGCCAAAUCAAAAAAAAAAAACUAUUUUAUUCAUCCGGAGUCAUAAAUCCACUAUGCACGUCAACCCAUAAUCACCAAAAUACAAAAAGCAGAUCAAGUUAAACCAUUAAAAUAAACAUGAAAUUCAAAGUAAAAACCAGAAAAAGAAAUUGCAGAGCAUAAUUACCAGAAGAAAGAAUAAAUAUAGACAUCCUCUCUUGGAGAGCAAAACCAAUCCAAUACUGAGAUCUUAUGGUUCCCCCACAUGCAGAUCCCAAGAAUAGGCAUCAUCUUCUUCUUAUCCGAAACUCCAUUUCCCCUCACAUGCAUUGGUAUCAUCAACAAACCCAAAUUAACCAAAAACCCAAUGCACCCACAACCUGAUUAAAUAAACCGCCACCACAUUGCAACCUGUUUUCAGUUUUUUCCGAUCUCCGGCACCAACCCCCACCCCGACCACCACAAAACUAGAGGUGAUUAAGGGGCAAAUCCGGGUUUUCACUUCAUCACUUCCCUUUUUUCAACAACAAAAAAAAAACUCUCAGUAUUCUUACUAAUGAAACUUCUAAUAUUCUGAAAAAAUUAAAAUACGCAAGUGUCUUGUACUAGUAUUAGUAGAGAAAAA
rnacentral:lncRNA from 1 species